AGCUUUGCGCAGUGGCAGUAUCGUAGCCAAUGAGGUUUAUCCGAGGCGCGAUUAUUGCUAAUUGAAAACUUUUCCCAAUACCCCGCCAUGACGACUUGAAAAGGCAGGGAAGCCAAUUGUGAUCUCCACAAGUAA